AUACUGAGGGUGCAAGCGUUAAUCGGAAUUACUGGGCGUAAAGCGCGCGUAGGCGGCUUGGUCAGUCGGAUGUGAAAGCCCCGGGCUUAACCUGGGAAUUGCACUCGAAACUGCCGAGCUAGAGUAUGGGAGAGGGAAGUGGAAUUUCCGGUGUAGCGGUGAAAUGCGUAGAUAUCGGAAGGAACACCAGUGGCGAAGGCGACUUCCUGGCCCAAUACUGACGCUCAGGUGCGAAAGCGUGGGUAGCGAACAGGAUUAGAUACCCCAGUAGUCC
rnacentral:rRNA from 1 species